UGGUAAGACAGGAUCAGUAGGAAACCGGCUGUUCUGGGUAGAAUCAGUGGAAGAAACCAGGCACUUCACACACCUGCCCAGUGCAGAGAUGAAGAGGACCUUUCCCCAGAGACACCAAGAAGUCAGAACAUGGCAAAAUGAGGACGUUCCUCAAGAUGUGCCUGAAAAGCUAAUUCAGCCCCGGGGGUUCAUAUGCUGUUGGAAACUAUGCGCUCUCUAAACAGAGCAUCUUCUUGAAGAUGAAACUGAUAUGGGUGAAGAGAAGGAAUCAAUACCAACAACUGGACUGAAGCGGAAUUCAGAAGACCCAGCUGCAUCAACACCAUCUCAAACUGCUGAUAAAAUUGCUAAGUUGGGUGAAAGAGCUGCAAGAAAAGGUACAGAGCAGGGCCAGAUGAGGUAAGAAAGGCAGGUGCAAAAACAGGACUGCUGAGAUUGUGAUUAUUAGUGCGAUUCAAGAGGAAAAACACCAACAUGGACUGGUUUAAAAUCCUAAAGGAAAAAAAAAAGAAGAUGGUUGAAAGUUGAGGGUUGGAUUAGAUGAUUUUUGAAGGUCCCUUCCAACCCAAACCAUUCUGUGAUUCUACGGUCAGACUUCAGCAUCAUUGAGGGUCUUUAGGAGGGUGCAGAGCUGGCUAAUACUUCCUCACCUUCGCAGAUCUAGCAAAAAAAGGCAUUUCAGUCACAGGUAUCACCUAUCUCCAAGACAUGUAGCUCUGGAGAUGAUCUCAAAAGCAUCUCAUCCAUUUCCAGUCUGCCCGGGACCUCUAGACUUGGCAUCUGGGUGGGAUUUCUCUACCUGCCUGCAGCCUUCCUGAAUUUUUUAGCUUCUUUGUUCUUAUAUAGGGGUAUACAAGUAUAUUGUGGUUAUUAUUACAGUGAUGGAUAAAUUUUCAUCCAUGCCUAAUGCACCUUCCAGACUUAACCAAGAGCUGCUUCUCUCCUUGUGAAUCAUCUGUUUCAUUGCUUCAAUAGGUAGCUAUUUAUGGGUCUAAUAAUUCAGCCUUUGCCCUCCCUGUUGUGACUUGUUCCUAGGAGGAACUGAAAUCUCCCAUUAUUAUCGUGUUUUCCACCUUUGCAGACUCUAAUCUCUUUUUAGCUUUUCCCAGCAACUGUCAUGCUGUGAUAUUGCUCUGCGACAUUUCGAUCCAGAGAGAUUUCUCUCAGUACCUUUUGAUGCAAUUAGCUAUUUGAUUUCUUCCUUUAACGUAGGAUGCGAGUUCUUUUCUCAAUGGGAUUCCGCCACUGUAAAGUUAGUAUUCCAGUGUCCUGCUGAUUUUCUUUCUUCCACAAAGUUACAAAUAUGUGAAUUAUAUCAAUCCUUCCUUUAAAAAUGCAAGCAUUGCUAGGAUGAGAAACCAAAGAAAUAUAAUUGGGAGAUCUUGUAUAAAUAAAGUCAAGCAAAUUUCUUCUUAUGCUUAAGAAGCUUUUACUGCUAUUAUGGAAACACACCCAUCUGUAAAUGCACCGCCUGGGAAAACUGCCUUAGGAGAAAGCAGCAUAACUAGGAGGCCAAUGGUCUACUAUAGUCCAGAACUUGAAAUUAGAUCUUUUUUCAGUAGUAGUUUUACUUACUAGAAUCAUUUUUUUCAGCUAACCAUGGGGAAAUAAAUUGCAUAGUAGCACAGUUGAAGCAACACUGGAGAUAAGGACUUCCUGAUUAAUCAUAAAGUGGCCGUAAUUCUUAGAAACCUCAGCUCGACCAAUUUGACAUGCUUGGUAUGAGCUGGAGAUCCAUCUGCUCACUGUAAGAAGAAAGAAAAAGAAAACCCAUUCUUGCGGCUGCAAAAAAAGAAGACACUGGAUAAUUAUUGCAAGAGUUUGGGGUGAGCUACCUGGCAAAGAUGGGAAAUUGGUGUGAUUGGGUAAAAUCCAAGCUUGGGCAGAUACAGAAUUUUAGGGAUUGUUUUUGAAAACAAAAAUGAUUUCUGCAGCUAGACAAUCACAGAAAUCAACCACUUCAGCCCACUCAAAGGACAUCAGGCUGUAAAUACUUCUAAUAGCCAAAUAUUUUGCAAUAACAUGAUUAUCCAGUGACCUCAGUAUUAGUGGGAGUGAUGGCAGAGUUGAAAUGGUAAAAGCAUGCCUGAAUAAUAAAUGGGGAUGUUUAAAAUACGCUUGAUGUGAAAUGAGAAUGUUUUCUUUCUUCCUAACCUUUUCUCUUCAACUGUGUUGUUAAAUUCAGAAGAGUCUCACAUUAUUGUUUCCAUUUUUUCCCCCCAAAUUAAGGUGCGCUUGGUAAGUAAUUGGAAAUGCUGAAUGCCCAAGGAGACAAGCUGCCAGAUUACUCAUUCAAUAAGCUACCAAGUUUUCUUAAGGAGUUAGAAAUACAGUAUAGAGAAUUGUGAUAUACAGAGAAAAUACAGUGAUGGGCAUAAAUACACUGCUGCCCUCUGCUGCUCAAAUUCCUAAAUGUGCCUCAAACUCCAAUAUAGCUCCAACUAAGUAAGUCAGUGCAGCUCAUCAUAUUGCAGGGACAUAUCUCUGUGCUCAACUCUGUUUUGUAAAAAACUUCAUAAUUCAGCUAUAAUGGUUAUUUCUUCUCUCCUCAGCAGCAACACGAGUUCUUAAACCUGAAGAACCCUGAUGGCUCUUAAGGAUCAUUCAAAUUCUGAGUGUAGAACAGGUUUGGUAUCACUGUUGCCACCGGGAUUCAAAGUGGCUGUCUUUAUGUGAAAUAUAUGGACUGUCCGAUAGUAUUUGCUGUUUCACAUUAAACCAUCCUGCCAAAAUAAA